rnacentral:rRNA from 1 species
UACGUAGGGUGCGAGCGUUGUUCGGAAUUACUGGGCGUAAAGCGCGUGUAGGCGGCCCUGUAAGUCGGGUGUGAAAUCCCACGGCUCAACCGUGGAAGUGCAUUCGAAACUACAGGGCUAGAGUUCUGGAGAGGAAGGUGGAAUGCUUGGUGUAGAGGUGAAAUUCGUAGAUAUCAAGCGGAACACCGGUGGCGAAGGCGGCCUUCUGGACAGUAACUGACGCUGAGACGCGAAAGCGUGGGGAGCAAACAGG